rnacentral:lncRNA from 1 species
UGGUUAUCACUAAUGAGAGGAUAGAUUUACGUAGGCCUGCUGCUCCUAGAUAUGGGGUGGGCAACGACUCAAAAGGAAAUGAUCAUAAACUAGCUAUUAAGCACUUAUUGGAACACUGGUGUCUUUCAUAGGAGGGAAAUCCUUCUUAAAUAAAACAUGGGACAACACAAACCCAUGAAAGUCUUUCUCAUGGCCACCUAUACUUUCAUCAUUUUAAAACCUUGUCUCCAUGCUGCUUUGUUGCUACCUGCCAACUUUUUUUUACUUUAAAAAAAAAACGUUUAAUCAAAAUCUUUACUUUACGCAUUUGCCAACGUCUUAAGUUUUUUAUUUUUUUCCUCGCUCUUCUUUUUUCAUUCAUAUUUUUCACCAUGGACGCUUUAUCUGGACAUGGUUCUACAGGACCUCCACCAGCCGAAGAUCCACAAACAGGACCAAGCCUGGUCUGCUGAGGAGUGAUGGACUCCACCCUAGCUGGAGGGGAACUCUCAUCUUAUCUAUCAAAUAGACAGGGCUCUAACUCCUCUCGCUCCACAAUGAGAUAGGGUGCAGGCCACCGUUCAAAGUUUUGGAUAUUUUUUAUAACCCAACCCUGGAUCUGUACUUCUCCGCAACUUUGUCCCUGACCUGUUUGGAGAGCUCUUUGGUCUUCAUGGUGCCGCUUGCUUGGUGGUGCGCCUUGCUAAGUGGUGUUGCAGACUCUGGGGCCUUUCAGAACAGGUGUAUAUAUACUCAGAUUAUGUGACACUUAGAUUGCACACAGGUGGACUUUAUUUAACUAAUUAUGUGACUUCUGGAGGUAAUUGGUUGCACCAGAUCUUAUUUAAGGGCUUCAUAGCAAAGGGAGUGAAUCCAUAUGCACGCACCAGUUUUCAGUUGUUUUGUUUUUGAAUUUUUUGAAACAAGUUAUUUUUUUCAUUUCACUUCACCAAUUUGGACUAUUUUGUGUAUGUCCAUUACAUGAAAUCCAAAUAAAAAUCAAUUUAAAUUACAGGUUGUAAUGCAACAAAAUAGGAAAAACGCCAAGGGGGAUGAAUACAUGUAAGCAUGUUUCUCACACCCUGACCUGAGAGAGACGUUUUUCUCUGUUUGGUUGGGUCAGGUUGUGACAUGGGGUGGGCAUUCUAUGUGUUAUAUUUCUAUGUUCCAUUCUAUGUUUCCUAUUUCUUUGUGUUGAGCCGAGUAUGGUUCCUAAUCAGAGGCAGCUGUCUUUCGUUGUCUCUGAUUAGGAAUCAUACUUAGGCAGCCCUUUUUCCCUCGUGUGUGGGAUCUUGUUUUUGUACAGCUCAGUAAGCCUGCAGAACGUGACGUUCGUUUUUUCUUUGUUUGUUGUUUUGAUUUCGUGUUCUGAGUUGAAUAAAAAUAGAAAUAUGAACACGUACCACGCUGCACCUUGGUCUACUCAUUUUGACGAUCGUCACAAUGUCUGACGUCUAUCUGGGAGUCUUGAGUUGGGUGUAGGAGUUGGCACACAUGACAUGCACUGUCAACUGUGGGACCUUAAAUAGACAGGUGUGUGCCUUUCUAAAUCAUUUCCAAUCAAUUGAAUUUACCACAGGUUGUAGAAACAUCUCAAUGGAUGAUCAAUGGAAACAGGAUGUACCUGAGCUCAAAUUCGUAGCAAAGGGUCUGAAUACUUAUGUAAAUUAGCUAUUCACACAGCUGUAACACAUAUGGACAAGAGGAACACCUAUGUAAGAAUGCUGUUCAUUGACUACAGUUCAGCAUUCAACGCUACGGUUCCCUUCAUGCUCAACACCAAGCUCAGAGCCCUGGGUCUGGACACAACCCUCUGCAACUGGAUCCUGGACUUCCUGACUGGCUGACCACAGGCUGUGAGGAUUGGCAACAACACCUUCUCCACACUGAUUGACGAACACAGGCACUAUGGUGCCAUUAAAGCAACCUCUCCCUCAAUGUCAGGAAAACAAAGGAGUUGGUUGUCGUAGCAACACACAUGCCCCACCCACUUGAGGAUCUGUCUUUUUCAGCCAUCUAUUUCCUGUGUUUGAGGGGUGCAAAAUUCACUUGUCACUUAAAUCUUGCUGGAUUGAUUGCUUUCAUUUUCUUCCUGCGAUUCUUUCAAACUCUUGCUUGUGCCUGUUGUGUUUUUCUCGUUAUUGUUACGACUGCGAAAAUGUUUGAAAUGACCUGUCAAACACACCCCAGUCAUGGCUGAAAUGGGAAAAAUGGAAAACAAUGUCUUUCCGUUGCAUCUAUAAGAACACGAAAGCUUCUUUGGAGAUUCAACACAUCAUCUUGACACAUACACUACCAUUCAAAAGUUUGGGGUCACUUAGAAAUGCCAUGCUGGCCUUCUAGGCAGAGUUCCUCUGUCCAGUGUCUGUGAUCUUUUGCCCAUCUUAAUCUUUUCUUUUUAUUGGCUAGUCUGAGAUAUGGCUUUUUCUUUGCAACUCUGCCUAGAAGGCCAGCGUCCCGGAGUCACCUCUUCACUGUUGAUGUUGAGACUGGUGUUUUGUGGGUAUUAUUUAAUGAAGCUUCCAGUUGAGGACUUGUGAGGCGUCUAUUUCUCAAACUAGACACUGUAAUGUACUUGUCCUCUUGCUCAGUUGUGCACUGGGGCUUCCCACUACUCUUUCUAUUCUGGUUAGAGCCAGUUUGCGCUGUUCUGUGAAGGGAGUAGUACAAGGCGUUGUACCAGAUCUUCAAUUUCUUUGCAAUUUCUCGCACGGAAUAUAGCCGUAAAUUGUUUCUGGCCAUUUUUAGCCUGUAAUCGAACCCACAAAUGCUGAUGCUCCAGACACUCAAUUAGUCUAAAGAAGGCCAGGUUUAUUGUUUCUUUAAUCAGAACAACAGUUUUCAGCUGUGCUAACAUAAUUGCAAAAGGGUUUUCUAAUGAUCAAUUAGCCUUUUAAAAUGAUAAACUUGGAUUAGCUGUCACGACUUCCGCCGAAGUCGGCUCCUCUCCUUGUUCGGGCGGCGUUCGGCGAUCGACGUCACCGGCUUUCUAGCCAUCGUCGCUCCAUUUUUCAUAUGUCCAUUUGUUACGUCUUGUUCCAUACACACCUGGUUUUCAUUCCCCAAUCAAUCUACAUGUAUUUAGUCCUCUGUUCCCCAUCAUGUCUUUGUGUGUAAUUGUUCAUUGUUAAUGGUGUAUGUUCACGGGCGAUACUUUUAUAGUUUAUGUUCCGUGUUUUUGGGCACUUAUGUCAUUUUUUGUGCCUAUUGUUGAAUGGAAUACAAUUGUGCCUGUUUACUCUACUCUGCUCUCCUGCACCUGACUUCGCCUCCCUUACACAGCCUUAACAUUAGCUAACACAACGUGACAUUGGAACACAGGAGUGAUGGUUGCUGAUAAUGGGCGUCUGUAUGCCUAUGUAGAUAUUCCAUAAAAUAUCUGCCGUUUCCAGCUACAAUAGUCAUUUACAACGUUAACAAUGUCUACACUGUAUUUCUGAUCAAUUUUAUUUUAUUGGAGAAAAAAAAUGUGCUUUUCUUUAAAAAACAUUGACAUUUCUAAUUGAACCCAAGCUUUUGAACGGUAGUGUAGUGUACAUCACAAGAAAGAGAAGAAAGAUAUCUUAAUUUUAAUGUGUGUUCAUUUUCGGUGGAAAAGUAAUAAUGUGGUACAGUUUAAAUGUUUACAAAUUAGAUGCACC